rnacentral:sRNA from 1 species
ACCUUAGUUUGAGGGGAAUAAUGCUAUUUUAUUAUCUCUCUGCAUUAGUGCUGCUGGCUCUGGUUUAAAGCAAGCGUUUGCAGGCCAUUGAAGACGGCAA